GGGCCAUGGACAUUUUGCUAACUACAAUGAAAAAUUAAAAGACAGAAAGUGGGUGAUAUUUUCUCAUCAUUUAGAAGUUGUGAUGUUGCUUUUCCUGCGCAACAACUAGCUUAAAUAGUAAUAGAUGAUGAUAACCAUGACAUUGCACUUUUGUUACAGGUAAUUCCAACCAUAGCAUGAGUGUUGUUGAAAGCACUUAACCAACUCAAGUACACAACCACAUGAGGAAGAUCACUCCAAAGCAAAAUAUGGGAGAAAUUGAAUGAAAAACAAAUAAAUCCAUUACAAGAAAAGGGGAAAUUAAACUAUAGGAAAAUAGAAGGACAAACAGAUUAAUUUCGGGGAAAAUCAAAUUAGGGAAAAAUUAAUUUGGGGAACAUUAAAUUGGGGGAAAACUGAAUUAGGGGGAAAUGAAUUUGGAGAAGGAGAAGGACUGAGUCUAGGUUUGUUCUCUAUUGGAAGAAUAAUGGAAGUGAGUCUAGGUUGUUCUAUGUUGGAAGAAGAGGAUAAAAAUGUUGAGAUGUGACUAUGCGAGAUUGGAAGAAUGGAACUUGGAAGAAAUAGAAAAGUGGAACUCUUGGAACUUGG
rnacentral:lncRNA from 1 species